GUUUCGGCUAGGGGGUCAUCCCGACUUACCAACCCGAUGCAAACUACGAAUACCGAAGAAUGUUAUCACGGGAGACACACGGCGGGUGCUAACGUCCGUCGUGAAGAGGGAAACAACCCAGACCGCCAGCUAAGGUCCCAAAGUCAUGGUUAAGUGGGAAACGAUGUGGGAAGGCACAGACAGCCAGGAUGUUGGCUUAGAAGCAGCCAUCAUUUAAAGAAAGCGUAAUAGCUCACUGGUCGAGUCGGCCUGCGCGGAAGAUGUAACGGGGCUAAACCAUGCACCGAAGCUGCGGCAGCGACACUAUGUGUUGUUGGGUAGGGGAGCGUUCUGUAAGCCUGCGAAGGUGUGCUGUGAGGCAUGCUGGAGGUAUCAGAAGUGCGAAUGCUGACAUAAGUAACGAUAAAGCGGGUGAAAAGCCCGCUCGCCGGAAGACCAAGGGUUCCUGUCCAACGUUAAUCGGGGCAGGGUGAGUCGACCCCUAAGGCGAGGCCGAAAGGCGUAGUCGAUGGGAAACAGGUUAAUAUUCCUGUACUUGGUGUUACUGCGAAGGGGGGACGGAGAAGGCUAUGUUAGCCGGGCGACGGUUGUCCCGGUUUAAGCAUGUAGGCUGGUUAUCCAGGCAAAUCCGGAUAACCAAGGCUGAGGUGUGAUGACGAGGCACUACGGUGCUGAAGUAACAAAUGCCCUGCUUCCAGGAAAAGCCUCUAAGCA
rnacentral:rRNA from 1 species